rnacentral:rRNA from 1 species
GAUGAACGCUAGCUACAGGCUUAACACAUGCAAGUCGAGGGGCAGCACUAGGUAGCAAUACUGAGGUGGCGACCGGCGCACGGGUGCGUAACGCGUAUCCAACCUUCCCGAUACUCUUGGAUAGCCUUCCGAAAGGGAGAUUAAUACAAGAUGGUGUUUCACUUUCGCAUGUUAUUGAAACUAAAGAUUUAUCGGUAUCGGAUGGGGAUGCGUGACAUUAGAUAGUAGGCGGGGUAACGGCCCACCUAGUCUACGAUGUCUAGGGGUUCUGAGAGGAAGGGCCCCCACACUGGAACUGAGACACGGACCAGACUACUACGGGAGGCAGCAGUGAGGAAUAUUGGUCAAUGGUCGGAAGACUGAACCAGCCAAGUAGCGUGAAGGAUGAAGGUUCUAUGGAUUGUAAACUUCCUUUAUACGGGAAUAAAACCUCCCACGUGUGGGAGCUUGUAUGUACCGUAUGAAUAAGCAUCGGCUAACUCCGUGCCAGCAGCCGCCGCAGUAA